rnacentral:rRNA from 1 species
AUUGGAAGUAAAAGUCGUAACAAGGUUUCCGUAGGUGAACCUGCGGAAGGAUCAUUAGUGAAUUUUAGGGCGUCUACUUGUAGAGCCUGACCCUCCACUUCUAACACUGUGCAUUAUUCGGUCAUUUGGCGACGUACCUUCGGGUGUCGAGCUGUUUGGCUAAUUUUACCAUUAAACAUUAGUACCAGUAUGUAACGAAAUAUCGAAACAAAAAAAGACUUUCAACAACGGAUCUCUUGGCUCUCGCAUCGAUGAAGAACGCAGCGAAAUGUGAUAAGUAAUGUGAAUUGCAGAAUUCAGUGAGUCAUCGAAUCUUUGAACGCACCUUGCGCUCCCUGGUAUUCCGGGGAGCAUGCCUGUUUGAGUGUCAUGAACUCUUCAACCCACCAGUUUCUAGUAGACUGUGUGAUGUUUGGAUCUUGAGCGUUGCUAGUCUGACUAGCUCGUUCGUAAUAUAUUAGCAUCUCUAAUUCGACUUCGGAUUGACUCAGUGUAAUAGGACUAUUCGCUGAGGACACUUUUAUUAGUGGCCGUAUGAGAACCAGUAGAAGCUUCCAACUACUUAGUCAACUUUGAUUAGACCUCAGAUCAGCAG